GAGAGCACGAAGCACUCAGAGCAUCGAGACUCUCCACUAGAGCACCACUUCCUUUGUAGUUUAGCCACCACCACUGCUAGUAGAAUAGCCAAGAAGGCGCUUAGUUCGCCAAGAGUUUGAAGAAAUGAGGAGAGGAUUAUUCGCCAACAAGGAUGAAUAUCUCUUCUUUGGAGAAGAAAAUAGGCUGAAAAUGUUUCAACCAAAUACAUUCAAUUUCAAGCCAAAACCCCAUAUCAAGCUUGAUGAAGCUCAAAGAUGCAUAUUGAAUAAUUUCUGGUUCCAAUAUACUCUCAAGAGAGAGGAAAAAGGAUAUUUUUUUUAUCAAUUCUCAAUAGUUUGGCAGAAUAUUUUAAUGAAUUAAACAAAAAUUUGCCAAAGCCAGAAAAGGUUGAAAUACCAAAAGCAGAGACACUAUAUCUUAUAUUUGAUGGAAAUAAACCUGGCAUAUAUUUGGAAUGGGAAAAUAUUAUGAUUGAAAAAUUAGAUGCAAAAAGAAAGGGACAAGAUUUAACAUUCAAAAGAUAUUAUAGUAUAGAUGAGGCCUUACUUUGGGCAAGAAAGGUAUUAGGACCAGAUUAUUAUAUUGACCCAAAGGCUAAAGACUAUAUCCAAAUGAAAAGAGGCGUACCUGCUUCACCAACUCCCACAAAGGGGGAGGCAUCAAGCUCAAAAAAUAUAAAGAAGGAAGAAUCUCCAAAAUAUAAGACAUAUCAAGAAUGCCUUCUAAAGGGGCUUGACGCUUUAGACAGUGAAUACAUAGAUCAAGAAAUAGAUAAAAGGUUUGAAGAAUUUUCGAAGAUAAUAAAGAAAGAAUUAAAGGAGGAAAUAUUAAAAGAAUUAAGGCAAGAAAUGGAUGAAAAAUUUGAAGAAAUAAAGAAAGAAUGUGAUGAAAAAUAUGAUUUCAAUCUCUUAAAUGAUGAUGAUCAUAUGGACAUAGCAGGGCAUGGGCAGCGGCCUGAAUAAAGCCCAAACCGCAUAUAUUGAUAUUGCUAUCAAUUAUUCGGGCGCGGAGGACCUAUACCCGACCCGAAUAUUGAUAGAAAUUCCCAUAAUAGAUCCUUUAAAUAUUGAUAAGGCAAUAUCAAUCAUAUGGGCAGAGAAGACCCCUGUAAAAAAAACUAAAAACUAAAAAUAUAUUUAUAUUUAUAUAAAUAAAUAAAAAUUUAAAGCAAUGUUGAAAAUGUAAGAAGCCUUGGCAUGUAUGUACGCAUACACUGGCACAAGGAUUCUUGAAGGCAGAAGAGGCUCUCAAGGCUAAUCGCAUGAAGAUCUGUAUGGCCGAAGAGCAAAGACUGGUACACAAAGGCCAGCCAAUUAUUCACCGAGGGACAAUGCCACGUGAAGAAAGCAAAGACUCCUGAAGAUUGAAGCUUGUCGGCACUCUCUCGCACUUUUCUAUAUUAUUAGAAGAACACGCGUAUACCCUAGUAGGACGCGUGUGCAUACUACCGUGUGUAAAAUAAGUGAAGGAAGGCUCCCGAAUGCCACCCUGCAGCCAUCCCUCGCGGCUAUAAAAGGAGACGCUGGGCUCAAGAAGGGAACACACAAGAGACGGGAGAGCACGAAGCACUCAGAGCAUCGAGACUCUCCACUAGAGCACCACUUCCUUUGUAGUUUAGCCACCACCACUGCUAGUAGAAUAGCCAAGAAGGCGCUUAGUUCGCCAAGAGUUUGAAGGAUAUUUGGAGAAGAACAGCGACGAAUCUGUCUACAUGGGAAUGCCUAUCCUCGGGAGAUGCCAAUACAAAGCUAAAUUGGGCGGUAAAAGAACUAGAAGCGAAAGCAAGAAGCCCUCCACUGUUAAUGUGGCCGGACCCUGGCUGAAGCAAGGCUUUUCCUUCUAGAUCUAGCUGUCUGUCAUUUGGCCGUUGAGCCUGCAGUUUUCUUUUUCGUUGGUGAAAUAGUGCUCUAGCACUUCUAGCUAUGUUUCUGCCAGUUUCUUUUACUUUCUCUGCGGGUAGCAUAUCUGCUGUUCGCCGUGAGCGUCAACAAUGUAAUGCACUUUGGACAAAUUUGUUUCGUUUCAAAUGAAAUGGAACAGGGGCGCUGCCCUUUUCUUCUAA